rnacentral:rRNA from 1 species
UACGGAGGGUGCAAGCGUUGCUCGGAAUUAUUGGGCGUAAAGGGCAGGUAGGUGGUCUUAUUUGUCCGGGGUGAAAUCCUUGAGCUUAACUCAAGAAGUGCCCCGGAGACGGUGAGACUAGAGUUUUGGAGAGGGUCGUGGAAUUCCCGGUGUAGCGGUGAAAUGCGUAGAGAUCGGGAGGAACACCAGAGGCGAAAGCGGCGACCUGGACAAUGACUGACACUCAACCGCGAAAGCGUGGGGAGCAAACAGG